CCUACGGGAGGCAGCAGUGGGGAAUAUUGCACAAUGGGGGGAACCCUGAUGCAGCGACGCCGCGUGAGUGAAGAAGUAUUUCGGUAUGUUAAGCUCUGUCAGCAGGGAAGAAGAAAGACGGUACCUGGCCAAGAAGCCCCGGCUAACUACGUGCCAGCAGCCGCGGUAAUACGGAGGAUGCGAGCGUUAUCCGGAUUUAUUGGGUUUAAAGGGUGCGCAGGGGGUAGAUCAAGUCGUCGGUAAAAUUGAGAGGCUAAACCUCUUCGAGCCGUUGAAACUGGUUUUCUUGAGUUAGCGAGAGGUAUGCGGAAUGCGUGGUGUAGCGGUGAAAUGCAUAGAUAUCACGCAGAACUCCGAUUGCGAAGGCAGCAUACCGGCGCUCAACUGACGCUCAUGCACGAAAGUGUGGGUAUCGAACAGGAUUAGAUACCCUGGUAGUC
rnacentral:rRNA from 1 species